rnacentral:rRNA from 1 species
CGGAGGGUGCAAGCGUUAUCCGGAUUCACUGGGUUUAAAGGGUGCGUAGGUGGGCUUGUAAGUCAGUGGUGAAAUCUCUGAGCUUAACUCGGAAACUGCCAUUGAUACUAUAGGUCUUGAAUCUUCUGGAGGUCAGCGGAAUAUGUCAUGUAGCGGUGAAAUGCUUAGAUAUGACAUAGAACACCAAUUGCGAAGGCAGCUGACUACGGGAGCAUUGACACUGAGGCACGAAAGCGUGGGGAUCAAACAGGAUUAGAUACCCUGGUAGUCCACGCCCUAAACGAUGGAUACUCGACAUACGCGAUACACAGUGUGUGUCUGAGCGAAAGCAUUAAGUAUCCCACCUGGGAAGUACGACCGCAAGGUUG